rnacentral:rRNA from 1 species
UGCGCAGGCGGUUGUGUAAGACAGAUGUGAAAUCCCCGAGCUCAACUUGGGAACUGCGUUUGGAACUGUCAGACUAGAGUGCGUCAGAGGGGGGUGGAAUUCCGCGUGUAGCAGUGAAAUGCGUAGAGAUGCGGAGGAACACCGAUGGCGAAGGCAGCCCCCUGGGAUAAUACUGACGCUCAUGCACGAAAGCGUGGGGAGCAAACAGGAUUAGAUACCCGUGUA